rnacentral:rRNA from 1 species
CUCAGGAUGAACGCCAGCUACAGGCUUAACACAUGCAAGUCGAGGGGCAGCAUGAAGUUUGCUUGCAAACUUGAUGGCGACCGGCGCACGGGUGAGUAACGCGUAUCCAACCUUCCCCUUAGUAGGGCAUAGCCCGGCGAAAGUCGGAUUAAUACCCGUAUGUUAUCCGAAGAUGGCAUCUGACUUGGAUUAAAGAUUUAUCGCUAAGGGAUGGGGAUGCGUCUGAUUAGGUAGUAGGCGGGGUAACGGCCCACCUAGCCUGCGAUCAGUAGGGUUCUGAGAGGAAGGUCCCCCACAUUGGAACUGAGACACGGUCCAAACUCCUACGGGAGGCAGCAGUGAGGAAUAUUGGUCAAUGGGCGCGAGCCUGAACCAGCCAAGUAGCGUGCAGGAUGACGGCCCUAUGGGUUGUAAACUGCUUUUAUCAGGGGAUAAAGUGAGGGACGUGUCCCUUUUUGUAGGUACCUGAUGAAUAAGGACCGGCUAAUUCCGUGCCAGCAGCCGC